UUCAAUGAUAUGUUUGAGAUAUGUUACGAGAAUGAUGCACUAAACGUAAUGUAACGAUAGAAGUAAGAUGUAUUCACGAAACAUUAAGGUUAAUUUACGCCUCGAAGUGCUAUGGAUAUGAGAGAUUGA